ACAAAUAUAGAAACUACAGGUGUUUUCUUUCCCUAUUCAUCUGGGAAACUGAACACCUCCUUUGACGAAUUUCAGCUAUUGAUCUUCAUUCUCCACACCGACCAAGCAUAGAAAACAUCAGUUACCUAGAUAAACUAUCAUAAUCAGAAAAGACGUCGACUAAUUUCAUCAUAGGCGGCCUCAAAUGUCUUACACAUGUGUCGUGACAUAUGACCCAACAAAAACAUUCCUUGCCAACCUCAUUGGGAGUCGAAGACUGUGUAGCAGAAUUAGAUUCUGAAGAUGCUGAUACCACACAUUUGCCCGUGAACAAUCAGAUUUAAAAGUUCUGCAAUUUUUCAGGCUUCUUCAAAUAAACAAAGAAAAUUAACUCAAUUGCAAUGCGACAUUACUGCUCUUGGAGCUUUUAGUGCACAACUCAUAACAUUGUUGAAAUGGUUGAUGGUUGAAUUCAUUACUUUUGGUUCUUUAGUAAACAAAUCUAUUAUUUCUGUCAUUAUUAUUUGUAUGUUUUUUUCAAUUUCAAAUACA